AAAAUGUCGUAGAUGAAGAGAGUAGUCUGGUUCAGAAGUAAAGCGAGCUAGGGAUGGUGAGAGCCUAGUACGGAGAAACGGAUGAAGCGCACUUCGGAGACGCUGCUUGAAAUGAAUAGUAGAGUAAGCCGGGGCCCCCUGUCCUCGUUAUAAACGGGAAAGUGGUUCUUCGGAACAACAAGGGUGGUACCACGGGUGAUAACUCGUCUCUUUU
rnacentral:ncRNA from 1 species